UGAGGCUGCGCGGCGGAAAGACAGAGAGGGUGAGAAGCGCUGGGCCUGCCCGUGGCUGUCUUGGUUUUUGCCUCCCCUGCUUCUCCGGCUGGUUACUGUGAGGCUUCCUCCUCAGUGCUGCAGGGGAGACUCCACCGCAAAACCUCCUGCGUCCCGAGUUCAGCCCCCGCAGCUUUGGGAGUCUCCUGCUGGUUUCUGCACUUGAGGAGGGUCUUCCCAGCUGAAGGUUCUGAGGGACGGGGAGCGACAAAGAAAAACAAAAAGACCUGGAAAUGGGGACCUGGGAGAAAAAUGGACAAGCAGUCUGAACCAAUCUCAUGGCUCCAGUUCCUCUGACAAGGGUUCACAUUGAGAAGUGCCCUUCAAGGCACAGAUGUCCACUUCAGAUGUAUAAAGCAACUCAGCUGAGUAGAGAGCCACUGACUGCACCCCUGACCCUGCCAACCACCUUGCAAGUACAUCUUCUCACUUAGAAGAACCAGGGGAGGAAUGUGGAUGAAUCAGUCCAAAUCCAUCUUCAUCACCAUACCUUGCUGGUGACAGGUCAGUGGUGAUUCCCUGCAGUGCUAACAGAUGUACAAGGACUGGAUGAUAGCUUAUUCAUUCUGUCUAGAAAAAAUUCAAGGCACACCAGGCUGAAUGAUAAGCUCCUCAGUAUGUUAGUGAAAAUCAACUUAAAAGAGGGUUACCUGGGCGCAAGUGAAUCCUUACUCUGGGCUGAAAAGGUGAAGCUUCCCAGGAGGGUGUGGGUCAAGACUGCUUUAAUGGGGUUGAGUUCAGCCGAACCUGGGGGUGUGGCAGGCUGGGUUGGAGAUGAAGGCUGUUUAAUCGGACUAGGAAAUGUAAUGGAUACUGGAUUCCAGAGAGGGCCAUGCUGGGAGCAGCAAGGUGGAAUGUGGUCUAAUGGUCUAAGAAGUGUUGGGCUGAACUCGAUGAUAUGGUUUGGAUGUUUGGCCACUCCAAAUCUCAUAUUGAAAUUUGAUCCCCAGUGUUGA